UUAGAGUUUGAUCCAUGGCUCAGAACGAACGCUGGCGGCGUGGAUUAGGCAUGCAAGUCGAACGUGAAAGGGGCUUCGGCCCUGAGUAAAGUGGCAAACGGGUGAGUAACGCGUGGAGAACCUGCCCGGAAGUGGGGGAUAACACUCCCAACGGAGUGCUAAUACCGCAUGUGUCUGCGGGAGCGCGUGCUCCUGCAGGUGAAGGUGGCCUCUACUUGUAAGCUAUCGCUUCCGGAUGGCUCUGCGUCCCAUUAGCUUGUUGGCGAGGUAACGGCUCACCAAGGCGACGAUGGGUAGCUGGUCUGAGAGGAUGGUCAGCCACACUGGGACUGAGAUACGGCCCAGACUCCUACGGGAGGCGGCAGUCGAGAGGCUUCGGCAAUGGGGGAAACCCUGACCGAGCGACGCCGCGUGGGCGAUGAAGGCCUUCGGGUUGUAAAGCCCUUUCAGGUGGGAAGAAGGGUGGGCGGGUGAACAAUCCUCCCGCC
rnacentral:rRNA from 1 species